CUGAUAUGACUUUCUUCUGCA
rnacentral:siRNA from 1 species